rnacentral:rRNA from 1 species
CGUACGGGGGGCAGCAGUGGGGAAUAUUGGACAAUGGGGGCAACCCUGAUCCAGCCAUGCCGCGUGUGUGAAGAAGGCCCUCGGGUUGUAAAGCACUUUCAGUGAGGAAGAACGCCUGGUGGUUAAUACCCAUCAGGAAAGACAUCACUCACAGAAGAAGCACCGGCUAACUCCGUGCCAGCAGCCGCGGUAAUACGGAGGGUGCGAGCGUUAAUCGGAAUUACUGGGCGUAAAGCGCGCGUAGGCGGCUUGAUAAGCCGGUUGUGAAAGCCCCGGGCUCAACCUGGGAACGGCAUCCGGAACUGUCAAGCUAGAGUGCAGGAGAGGAAGGUAGAAUUCCCGGUGUAGCGGUGAAAUGCGUAGAGAUCGGGAGGAAUACCAGUGGCGAAGGCGGCCUUCUGGACUGACACUGACACUGAGGUGCGAAAGCGUGGGUAGCAAACAGGAUUAGCUACACCUGUAGUC